AGGACGAACGCUGGCGGCGUGCUUAACACAUGCAAGUCGAGCGGAAAGGCCCUUCGGGGUACUCGAGCGGCGAACGGGUGAGUAACACGUGAGUAACCUGCCCCUAGCUCUGGGAUAGCUCCGGGAAACCGGGAUUAAUACCAGAUACGACCACUUUAGACAUCUGUCGUGGUGGAAAGGAUUCCGGCUAGGGAUGGGCUCGCGGCCUAUCAGCUUGUUGGUGGGGUAACGGCCUACCAAGGCGACGACGGGUAGCCGGCCUGAGAGGGCGACCGGCCACGACUGGGACUGAGACACGGCCCAGACUCCUACGGGAGGCAGCAGUGGGAAUAUUGCGCAAUGGGCGAAAGCCUGACGCAGCGACGCCGCGUGGGGGAUGAAGGCCUUCGGGUUGUAAACCCCUUUCAGCAGGGACGAAGCGAAAGUGACGGUACCUGCAGAAGAAGCGCCGGCUAACUACGUGCCAGCAGCCGC
rnacentral:rRNA from 1 species